UAUAAAAUUUUAAACCCUAAUUUCAAAACCCCAUCCUUAACUCUAAACCCUAAAGUUUGGAUUAAUUAGCCCAAAUGAUAUAAAUAUAUAUUUAUCUCUUUAAUGAAACAUAUUUUUGUGACUUUGAUCCUUGAGUGCUACUUUGGAAACGAAAAUUUGGUUAAGUGUUAUACUAGUCUUUUUCUCUCUCUAGAUAUAAUGCAUUCGUCAUAAUUUCAAAACUAUUAUAGAUACUGGCAGAUUAUUAUUUUACAAAUUAAUAUUCCAGGUUUGGAUCUUACUCCUUACUAUUGUAGAGUAUUUACUAUAUAUACAAAAAAAAUAUUAAAUUUUUUUUUGUUAUGAUAAGAGAUAGAAAUAUAUAUGGCUAUGAAUAUGUGGAUAUACAUUUUAAAGUAUAGUUUGAGAGAAAUAUGAUUAGACGAACACUCAGCUAAUUUUUAUAGACAACAAAAGCUAAUGAUUGUAUGAUAAAUAGUUCAUUAAAAAUGAGACAACAGAAGCUACAGCCUAUUUUGAUAGAUGCCAAAUCUUAUUUAGCUUUUUUUUGUACUUUUGUAAAUUCUUAUUAAACUUUGUAUACAUGAAAAAUAGUUGAAUGUAGAUUUCUUGUUGAAUAUCCCUUAACCACCACAGUCCACAGCAAAUUAUAACACUUAUUGAGAGAAGUAUCACUUUUAGAAGGUUUAUAGUAGUCGUUUGUUAGUUAUUUAGUUAAGUGAGACCAGUGUACCACUGUAAUUCAUUUCUAUCAGUGAUAAAAGAAAACUUUUAACGUCUACUUUUUAUCUGUUUAUAAUGCAUCAAAUUCAAAAUGGUAUCAACAUUUAUGAAGGCUUCAUAUGAUUUUUGUUUAUUUGUUCUAUGAGGAGAUUCUUGCAUUUUCUUAGAUUCUUAUAGAUGUGAUUUUCUUUCAUUAUACUUCUUCCACCUCUGAUUAUAGUUAGUUCUCUGUUUUUUGUUAGCUUCAUAACAAUAUUUUCAAUGAAUUAAAAAUGAAUGUAUAGUGUUGUAGUAUUAAAUAAUUCAAGGCUCCACCUAGGGUCCGAAUAUUAAAAAUAAAAUUUUUAGAAUUUUUCAACAAUAUAUGCAUAAAUUAUGGUUUAAAAUUAGAUUUUAGUACUCACUAAUUUAGAAUUUAUAAUUUAUAAAAAACGUUAAACAUAUAUAAAUAAAAUUAUUAAUUUAUUACACUAUUUUAUUAUAUUUUAAAUAUAACGUUUAUAAUCAAUGUUUUAUAAAAGGAAAAAAAGGAGAAAAGGUGAAUAAAAAUAUUUAUAAAUAUAACAAGAAAUCAUUGUAAACUUUUUUUUUAUUAAUAAUAUCCUUGUAAACUUAUUAGCAUUUAUUUUAAACUAUAAAAUUAUUAAUUCAACCAACAAAAAAUUGAUCAUAAAUUAACUUACUAAUGAUACCUAUAAAACCUUACUGCUAUAAUUAAAACACGUGUUAUCUUUUACAGAUGCAAACGUUUUUAAAAAAUAUGAAUUCAUUAUGGCGGUAUACAAACGUCCUGUUCUGGGUCAGGAAAUUUAUUUGGCAGCCAUUAGUAUUGUGCACAAAUAACCUGGCCCUUAAUUGGUUGGAGAACAAUGGGUCAGUUACCCCACCAUUAAUUAUGAAGUUGAUCUUUUCAUUUCGAUGAAUACUGAGGCGAUUAUGUGUUGUGUUUACGAUCACCAAAAUUAAAAUAAUUAUUUUUCUCUUGAUAUGAUUUCAACGAUAUGGUGGUGUUUGCUUGUUUGGCCAAGUACACUAGCUCAUACUUUACCCAACUUUCUAAAAAACGUUGCUAGCUUUUGGAAAUUUUGUCUAAAGAUUUGAAACAGCUUCUACGGGGUUUCAUUUAGAAAAUGGAUAAUCAUGACUAUCAGCCUAGCUUUAGAAGAAAGUCAUAAAGAAAAAGCUGAUAUAGUGCUUCUCAUAAGUGGAUACUGAUUCUUUUAAUUCACAUAUUUAGGUUAUGGGUCUAAUUAAUAAAGAGUGUAGAUACGGUUUAUGGUUUGUAAGAAUUCACUUUAUAUGUAAUUGUGCAUAAACAAAAGUAUUUAAGGGAAUGUAUUCAAUUAAACAUGAAAAAUAAUUUGACGACCUGUUAGUUUAUUCGCUUGUCAUUUCCAUACCACUUACAAAUUUCAUCCAAAUAAUUAAUUUAAUAUUGAAAAAAUAAUUUAAUAUUUUUUGUUUGAGUUUUUGGAUGAACAUUUGGAUUAGGAGUAUUCAUUUGGCUUUUGGUUCAGUUCUUUUCAUUUAUAUUUUUUGUUGAUAAAAUUGGCUACCAUAAUAGUACCAUAACUAUUUUGGUCUAAAUAACAUUGAUUUUUGAUCUAUCAGUUUUAUACAAAAACCAUCGUUAAUUUUUUAAAAUAUAAAUUUAUUUAUAUAAAAUAAAAUUUAUUACAACAUAAAAAAAUUCUUGUUUAAUAUAUUAUUUUAAAUUAGUUAAUAGAUAUUAAUAAUAAAAAUUAGUAAAAUAAUAAUAUUUUUUAUUUUUAAUAUUAUCAAAUAAAUAAGAUAUAUCAUAAUAAAUAAAUUUUCACCAUAAAUGUUUUAAUAAUAAUUUAUUUAAAAACUAUAAAAUAAAGAAAUAAAAAUAAAAUAAUUUUAACUUUAAACAAAAUAAUAGUAGCAAAAUCAAAGUUUUAAAUCAAGAUUAUAUUAACAAAGUAAGUUAUAUCUGUAUAAGUACUAUUACUUAUAUUAUGUAUUUUACAUAUAACUAUACUACUAUCUCCUGUUGUUAAAAAAAAAAACUAUAUUACUAUCUCCUACUAUAAUGUAAUAUAUCGGUUUUACUCUAUUUAAUCUGUUAAUAACUUAACACUAUUCACAUACUGCAGGUGUUUAGAUAAUGGUAUCCAUAUUCCUUAUUUUGGUUGGUUUAUAUUCACUGAAUUGAACAUUCAUGUUUGGACAGAGAAUCUGAAUUUUUAUACCUUUUUAUUCAAUAUAAAUGAGUUUCAUAAAAUGAGUAAAAUACAUAUACUUAAAUCUAAAAUAACUUUUACAAGUUAAUUUUGAAGUUUUAAUAAAAUUUAUAAUUUGUUGUAAAAGAAAAUUUUACGCUAUUAUGGUAGUGCGAUAUUUAAUUUUUGCAUGAUAUUAUAUUUUCUGGUAUUGACGAAAAAUAUGAUUUUAUAAAUUUGGCAUAAAAUUGAAAAUAGGAGGAAAAUAUAAUUUAUAUUUGAAGGUAAAUGUUAUUUUGAAAUUUAGCAAAAAAUUGUGAUCUUAUGAUUCUAACAUCAAGAUAUAAUUUUGGUUUUUGACGAGAAUAUUUUUUGUGGUUUUCAUGAAAAAAUGUGUUCACAUAGGUCUUGCAGAAAACAUAUUUUUGGGCAAAAACAAUUUUACAAGUUUUAUGGAAAUUAAGAAUUUGCAAUUUUGGUUGACCAAUGUGAUUUAUCUGUUCUAAUGCAAUUCUGAUGAAAAUUGUGUUUUUGACAAAUUGUGGUUUUGAAAUGUUGACAAAAAAAUGUAAUAUUACAAUUUUAAAUGAAAAAAAUACUAUUUUUGUGAUUAUGUGAAAUUGUGAUUUUGGUAGGAUUUGUUUUCAGUUUUGGUAGAAAAAAAUAAUAUAAUUUUACAGUUUUUGUAGUUUUGGUGAAAGAAUGUGAUACUGUUUUAAUUAGAAAAUUUGACUUCACAAUUUUCUCAAAAAUAAUAUUUUAUGUGAUUAACGAAAAAUGUGAUGUUGUAAUUUUGACAUAAAAUACAGUUUUAUAGUUUUUAAAUUUUAAUUAAAAAAUACUUAUAUAACAACUAUAAAAAAUAUCAUUUAUGUCAUAUUUAUUGUUUAUUUAAAUUUAUAGCUAAUUUUUUUAUUUGUAUUAUAUAUAUAUAUAUAUAUAUACACUUUUUUUUUUGUUAUUCUGAACUAAAUCCAUUUAUCCAUAUGCAUCAAUGUAAAUUUACCUUUGCGUUUCAAAAGUAAGACCUUCUCGAACGACAGACACGGAGCAAGUGAGCAAGUGAGUGGGGAUCAGUCAAAGUAAUGCAUGCAUUGGGUCUAAUUUUUUUUCUUUGAGAUUAUCGAUCCGGAAUCAAAAGAAAAAUAUUAAUUCUGUUAAACAAAAUGUCCUCGUAAAUUUACCUUGUGUGUUAAAAGUAAGACCUUCUCGAACGACUCGGAGCAAGUCAGCAAGUGAGUGGGGGAUCAGUCAAAGCAAUGCAUGCACUGGGUCUAAUUAUUUUUCUUUUAGAUUAUCGAUUCGGAGUAAAUAUGUACUAUGAUUUCCAAUGUAUCAUUUGACUCCUCUAUCAUGCAUGUAGCUCCGUUCCUCAUUUUUUUCUUUUUUCGAAAAACUUUGUUCUUCAUUAAUAACACAAUUUUAAAAGUAUCAUUCAAAUCAUUUGUCUUAUCCCAUGAUGCUCUUGUAGUGUAGACAUUACAAGAAAAUACUCAAUUUCCAACGAGAAACGUUGGAAUAAAAUUUUGAGAAAUUUUGGAAAUUUGUCAAAAAAUUCCCAUAAAAUAUCUUUUGUUAAAAACCUGUUUAUUUUUUUUUCGCCAAAAUUUGACAAAAGAAAUCCAUCGAAAAUUUACAUAUGAAUUCUCAAGAAAACAUUAUACCAUCUGUUAGCUAGUUGUUGCAAUUUUCGAUGAGUUUCCGAUAAAAAGACAAAUAAGUCAAAAUCCAUUGAGAAUUCUCCACAGAGUCUACAACCACUAUGUAUCCGUUUGAAAAAAUAAAAUUUUCUACAAAAUAAAAAAAUUUCAUAAUCCGCCGGAAAUCUUUCAGAAAUCCAUCAAAAAUUAGGUUACUUUCAUCUAUGAAUAUCACAUCUUUUCAUUCAGAACAAAGUACAAAAUAUGUUUUCUAAUUAUUUUCAUUCGUAGAUGGAUAAACUUACUAUAGAUCCAUAGAAAAAGUUAUUUACAGAUAAAUACAUAUAUAUGGUAUUACUGAAUUCAUAACAUUGGCUCAACAAAUCAACAACCUCGUUCUUUAGGUAUUUUAUAAACAUUUCAUUGACAUAUUUUCAAUUUUAUCAUCAUUUUUAGGAGGUGGUUCCAAAUAAAAAAUGGCGUUUAAUCGGGUUAGAUGUGAAACACACUUUUCUCGUCUAUACAAGUUUCGUAUAUUAAUCCCCAGAUUGUAGAACAUGUGAGAACAAAGAUGAGUGUCUCAGUGCAGAACCAAAUUGCAACUAUAUUUUCACAAUUGGCAAAAAACCAAAAAUCUUGUCGAGAAGAUGAACCAUAAUUUCUGCUAAGACUUCUAAAUCUUUUCAUUAUUAUUUAAAACUGUGAAAAUCUUGUCUUUAUAUUAGAAACUUGUAUGUAUUUAAAUUUUAA